rnacentral:rRNA from 1 species
GCGAAGAACCUUACCAGGUCUUGACAUCCUCUGGCAAUCCUAGAGAUAGGACGUCCCCUUCGGGGGCAGAGUGACAGGUGGUGCAUGGUUGUCGUCAGCUCGUGUCGUGAGAUGUUGGGUUAAGUCCCGCAACGAGCGCAACCCUUGAUCUUAGUUGCCAGCAUUCAGUUGGGCACUCUAAGGUGACUGCCGGUGACAAACCGGAGGAAGGUGGGGAUGACGUCAAAUCAUCAUGCCCCUUAUGACCUGGGCUACACACGUGCUACAAUGGACAGAACAAAGGGCAGCGAAACCGCGAGGUUAAGCCAAUCCCACAAAUCUGUUCUCAGUUCGGAUCGCAGUCUGCAACUCGACUGCGUGAAGCUGGAAUCGCUAGUAAUCGCGGAUCAGCAUGCCGCGGUGAAUACGUUCCCGGGCCUUGUACACACCGCCCGUCACACCACGAGAGUUUGUAACACCCGAAGUCGGUGAGGUAACCUUUAUGGAGCCAGCCGCCGAAGGUGGGACAGAGAUUGGGG